UUUUUCACUUGAAGAAAACAGCUCACUACAUUUUGAAGUGCUGCAUGUUGAUUAAAGUGGGUCACCAACACAGUAAGUGGAACACAGCUUUGUUUUUUUUUUGUUAGUCACUUUUUGUUAAAUAAUACUCUUUCAAUUCAGAGCCUGGAUUUCCCCCUGAGGUUAAUAUCCAUAUCAUGCUGCAAUCAAUUGAACAGGGUAAACGAUAAGGUAGAACAUCAUUAAAAUACUCCUACUACAAUGUUAAAACAUUCUACAUUGUGACAUCAUUAAAAUACUCCUACUACAAUGUUAAAACAUUCUACAUUGUGACAUCAUUAAAAUACUCCUACUACAAUGUUAAAACAUUCUACAUUGUGACAUCAUUAAAAUACUCCUACUACAAUGUUAAAACAUUCUACAUUGUGACAUUAUUUCAGUGAUAUCAUGAAACAACUUCUUCAUGUAUGUAUUUUCUGAUGUUUGAUCAGAGAUCUUUUAUCAGAGUAUCUCUUGUCACAUUGAUCACAGCUAAAAGGUUUCUCUCCUGUGUGUGUUCUCUGGUGUUGAGUCAGAUGGCUAGCUUUAACAAAACUCCUCCCACAUUGAUCACAGAUAUAAGGUUUCUCUCCUGUGUGUGUUCUCUGGUGUAAUGUCAGACUGCUAGAUGUAGUAAAACUCCUCCCACAUUGACCACAGCUAUAAGGUUUCUCUCCUGUGUGUGUUCUCUGGUGUACUGUCAGACCGCUAGAUGUAGUAAAACUCCUCCCACAUUGAUCACAGCUAUAAGGCUUCUCUCCUGUGUGUGUUCUCUGGUGUGAAGUCAGCUGGCUCGAUGUAGGAAAACUCCUCUCACAUUGAUCACAGCUAAAAGGCUUCUCUCCUGUGUGUGUUCUCUGGUGUGAAGUCAGCUGGCUCGAUGUAGGAAAACUCCUCUCACAUUGAUCACAGCUAUAAGGCUUCUCUCCUGUGUGUGUUCUCUGGUGUUGAGUCAGAUGGCUAGCUUGAACAAAACUCCUCCCACAUUGAUCACAGAUAUAAGGUGUUUCUCCUGUGUGUGUUCUCUGGUGUACUGUCAGAAUGCUAGAUGUAGUAAAACUCCUCCCACAUUGAUCACAGCUAUAAGGUUUCUCUCCUGUGUGUGUUCUCUGGUGUUGAGUCAGAUGGCUAGCUUGAACAAAACUCCUCCCAC